AGACUUAUGUAUGUGUGUGUUUGCUUGUGCAUGGUAAUCACUGCACAUGCAGUAAACUUUCUUUGGUUAUUAUAAGUCAUAGUUCAAUAUGAUAUCUAUGAUCAUAAAAUCUGCACUCAGUAGCUAAAGUAAUGAAAAUCUCAUAAUUAUGUCAGCUUUUAAAAGAUAGCCUGAGAAACUAGAAAAGUAGAUGACGGUGAGCAUGAAGACUCUCAGUUACACUGGGGCUCCCCAUGCCUAAUUUAAACCCCAUUAUUUUGUCAUAAAAUCAUAAUUUCGGUAAGGCUCUUUUAAAAUCAGAUUCUUUAAAAACAAUAAUUAUGCAAUAAAAACUGAGGAAGUUUUCAACACUAGAAUUAUGUCUAUAUUUUUUUAUAUUGAUGUGUGUGGGGAUUUUCCCAGAUAUAAAUGUGUUUGCCAGUUGAGUUGUCUCGAAUCUCUCCAUGUGUAAUAAAAGGCCUUGAAAUAUUUUUUCAAGUAGUUGGAGGAUAGAAAAUAUAAAAGUUUAAAAAUAUGAAAGUCCGUUAGAAAGCAGAACUGGGUCUGCUAAUGCACUCUGAGAUAAGCCACCAUCACUGUACUUUUUUCUCCAUAGAUUUCAAAUCCAGUUUUCAAACUGUCCUAUCAUUUAGUCAUUAUUUACAUAUUAAGGUCUAUUCAGACUGUAUCCCUACUCUAACUCUUAGUUAAAAUCAUAAAGGAAAAUGAGGUGACAGUAUUUCACAGUGGAUCAAGUUGGCUUUUUUAAUGUCAUCAAUAAAUUUUGAUUUAGCCUCCCCUAACACUAAAACAAAGCUUUAGUUUCAUUUUGGAGGGGUGUGGAGAUACUCAGUAGGAUGGUGAUGUGUGAGCAGAUUUUCCCUCCCCCUUUUUAUUCUGUUAUUACUUUCCAGUAUCUCCAGGUUGCACAAUAUUCCUUGAAAGCAAACACUUUAUGCAAAGCAGCUGUCUAACAGAGUUACUUUUACUUUCUCUUGCAGGGUGGCCUAUUGAGCAUGAUUAACUUGACUCUGAUGGAAAGAGAAAAAUAACCUGGAAACAUCUGGCAAAUAGUUAAAGGUAGCACCCACAGACAUGUCCAUGGAUUUGUGGCCCUCAUGAUAUGCACCAACCCCUCUUCUGCAGCUGGAGUGUUAAAACUGCCUGAUGUUUUGAUAUUUUAAGCACAGAGCUUUACUAGAACCUACAAAAAAUGUACCUUGGCACGUCUACUGGCUUUUCUCCGGAGGCUUCCUUUGUGUUCUUCUGAAUGCCUUGGAGGACUAAAGGGCAUUGCAUGAACUAUUAGCAAGAUUACAGGGAUAUCUCCAGAUGCACUCUGUGGUUGCUCACACGCUGUACAGAACAGAAGCAAGAAUAUCAGCAGCACAGAAUAGCAGUGAAUUUGUGACAGCUUCUGAUAAGGCAUCAGACUGAAGUGAAGGUUGAACUGACAGUGCAGAGUCUCUUCCACCAUUUAUCCUGAAGUGUCUGAACGACUUUCGCUCAGCCUCUAACCCAACAAAACUGUUGAUUUCAAACAAUACUUCUCCCUUUCUGAUCUCACUUUUCAUCUUGAUUGAAGUAACAAGUAGGCCUUUCCAGAUCAAGGAUCCUAAUUGUAGCAUUACUUCCCUAAGGGUAUGCGUAAUACUGAUUUUAUGGCUGCAUUGAAUGAGAGGCCUUUCUGUCCAUAUCUGUGACCUCUCUCUCUUUAACCCCUUCCUUGCAUCUUUUUCUUCAUUUUGUUUAGGAUUUUUGUUUGCUAGCAUCCUCAUUUUAUUUGUUUAUUUGUUUUUUGGGUUUUUUUGUUUUGUUUUUUUUUAUUGCUCUUUUUUACGAGGAAUCCAAACAUUUGCAAUGGCAGAUGCUUUUUGGCUAAUUUACAUAAGUUGAGCAAAUGCUCCACAUGCUAUUGUCUACACUUGAGUUCUCUGAAUUUUAUCUGUCCUUCAAGCAGCAAACUGCUCACCACCUUCUUAGGGAUAAAAAUGUGAUCCUUCCUAUAUUUGACAACUUGUGUCCAUUAUUAAAUUGUUAUAGGUAUCUAGGUAAAGAAAUCAUGGAAUCUGUGAAUCACGGAACGUGUGAAUUACCUUUGAGAAAAGUUGUAUGGGGAACUUCUGACAGGAUACAUUAGAUGUAUCAGUCCAUUUUGAAAUACAGGUUAAGUGACUGACGACUGUGAGGGACGUAGUUGUAAUGGAAACAUUUUAAGUCUGGAAUGGAAACAUUUUAAGUCACAGUCUCUCUACUGUUCAAGUGCUGACAUCUAGCUUGGUGCUAUACAGAAGGUCCUAGCCUCAAGCAACAGAUACCCUUGAAUUAGGCCAAAAGGAUCUACACAAUUCAUAUCAAAUUACAAAGGCUCUCUCCCAGUAUAGAUCAGAAAUUACUUUUAUAUAUAGCCUUUUGUUUAUAUGUUUGUCUAAUGUAAGAAAAUGGAGAGCACAGCCAGCAGCCAGCGGUGGUCAUGAGAAUGGAGGUGUAAAAAUCUGUGUGAAGGAAUACUCCUGCCCUGCUAAGUUCCACUCAGUUUUAGGAAGGAGGCAGAUGCAGUCCAGUGCCUGUGUCUACAUUGCACCAAGAGUAGAGAUCAUGUCCAGUAUCACUGUAACACCACCACAUGAACCCUAGAAGCAUUUUCUUGAUUUCCCAGAGAUGGAACCCAAACCUAGGGUCACACCUUUGCCUUCCUGAGGUGUUACUACAGAUUUAAGCCUUUCUUGCCUGAACUGGAUAUGUAAUGCUGAGUAUGCUCACUUUUGCUCUAGGAAUAUAUACAAUAACAUAAAAUAAUUUUGUUUCAGCUUUAAAGUAGUUUUAAGAAUAAAAUUAAAUGUUUGUAGGACUUACUUGAUUGUCUUUUUAAACCCUCUGCAUAUUUGAAAUUUCUACUAGUGUGCAAAGGGCAAGUAACACUUCUUUCCCAACAUUUUCCCUGUCUCAAAUGGCAUUGAAAUUUAGACAACAACAUGCGUAGCACAUGAUUAAUGAAGCUGUGCACUGAGGACAGGACAUCUGUGGGAUUGCACAGAGCUUUGUGUACAUGUUGCUGCAUGUUCAAGAAACUCCGCAAAUUGAUAAUUUCUUAAAUUAAUUGACUUUCCCUGUGUAAUGUUAACGUAACCUUCAGUUUGAAAAGUGCACAGAUUUGCUAGCAAGUAAAACAGGCAGGUAGUCAAAUCCCUAGAGGAUUACUUAGGUUUGCAGCUCACCACUUUGUCCUUUACAAAGGAUAUUAAUAUUUCUCAGGAGUUCUUAAAUGAAACUAAUCUUGAAAAAAAAUCAUUUUUUUAGGCCAUUUACAACUGAGUAUAAUACAGAAAAUGUCUAGCAUAAGAGUCACAGCAAUAAUUAUCUGUUCUGUAAGGAGAUACACAGAAAUUGGGAACAGUCCAGACAAAAGUGUUUUCUCUGAUCCAGCCAAUGAAAAGCACAGAAAAAAAGUUGGAAUCAUUCUCAAUUCAGAUUUCUAAGAAAAUUCAAACUGAUCUUUGUUAGUAUCUCUAAGCCAUUGAACUAGAACUAGAAAUGUUGUUGUAGACCUGAGCAUACCUGGCUGAACUUUGGCCCUUACCACUAACCAAAAAGGGAGUCUCCUGUCCUAAAAGAAGGGUAAGGAACAUUUUACAUAAAAUAUAGGUCAAGUGAGAUUAGGCUGACAAGUUGCCAUGACUAUAGAGGUGCUACCCUUUUUAUACCAAAGAGAGUGAAUUGCUUUGCAGGGUGAGAAGGAUCUCUCUAAUGAAGGCUAUUAUUCUGGAGGCUAUUAUUCCAUGUUGAGACAAAAGGGAAGGUGGUGCACCUGACUAGUGACUGACUAGUCCUGACUAACACCUGAUUUAGUCCUGUCUUCCAAAGUUUUAAAGUGUUAGAGCUCUUCUUGUCACCACAUCUAAAUCAAAGCCUUAAGGUAGUGCAUAUAAGUUAGGGCCUAAAGCCACAUUAAAUAGGAAAAUGUGUUCUUCUGUUUGAAUCAGAGGGAGAAAUUAUGGCAUUCAGCAAUUCCAGCGACUCCUCAUAUUUGUUAACUGAGACUCUGAUUUUUUAUAUAUAUAUAGUUAAUCAGGAGUGUAUUUUUAAUAAAUUAGUGGGAAGAAGAAGGUAACAGAGUGGUGGUUUAGUAUAGACCGCACAAGUUUUCAAGCUUUCUUUGCUUGAGGCAUGGGGAUGGAGUCAGAAUUAUGACACAGGACUUGGACUUGUUUGGCUUUGAGUACCUUAGAGCACUUCGGUUGCUGCAUAAUGAUGGCUACCUAACUCUCUUUUUCACUCAUUUGGUCAGAGCACAUAAUUGCACUUUAAUGUUUUAGUUAUCAUAACUAAUUAAUGUAGAAUUUAGGAGAAUGAGGAUUAUUAUCUGUUGCUUUUAAAGGAUGAUACCUGCUAGUUACUCAACAGGGGAAGAAUCAAUGAAAACCAAUUUUCCUUGCAGUAGAUGCAGUCCUCUUCUUGCAUGCACUCAAAAUCCAAACAUUAACCCCUGCUUCAAUUCAUCAGUGCCACAGGCUCUCUCUGUGAAACCAGUUAUGGGUGCAGAGAAUUUCCAGUGGGUAGAAUGUAUUAAUUUUGUAUUUGCCUAGUAAAAAAGUGUAAAAUAAAAAGUGUGGCAUCUUCUGAUUUACAGCUCUGGAUACGCUCCAUUUGGGAGAAAUUUCUUCAAAACAUGACCAAAUCUGGGUUUUAACGGAUGUCAUUAACACACUUGAUUUUUUCAAACAUGGUAGAUGCAUGAAAAUGCUACAAGUCUUAGAGAACUGAUGAAAAAAACAUUCAAGCCUCACUCCAUUUCAGCAAGGCCUAACUUUGGGGCGUGUAGUCAGUGUCAUGUUUGACCUUGACACUUCAUCUCUGCAACCAUUGCAGGCCUGCAGAUCAUAAUCCUAUAUAGAGCCAUAGGAAGCCAUCAGAAAAUACAUCUGGUUUCCCUAAGAAUAUCAAUAUUUAGUGAGUUCUUACAUAGUGUACUGAAAUAUAUGUAUGAUAUACAUAAAAUCUGGAAACUGCUACAGUGGGAGAAUCACAAGGCCACACUGAUACACUGUACAAUGUAGAAAAAAAAGUAUGUUACCUAAUGAAAAUGUGCACCUCACAUAAAAACCAGCAGGAUAUACUGAAAUAUUUAUAAAACCACCACAUAUUUCGUGUAUUAUAUUCUGGAAUCCACUGUGUACCUGAUUAUGAAAUGUCUUUGUCAAAAUAGUUCAAUAUACAAGGAAUACCAUGCCAUAAAUCUGGCUUCCUUUACCAUGAGAUGAAGCUUUUACAUGGUGGAGUUGUAACACUCAUCAGUCAAUUAUCAUUCUAAAUCUCUCUUCUGCUUUUCCUUUUGUGCUGAGACAUUGCAAGUUACUUGACAACUUUCCACAGUACUUCUGUUUUCCAUCUAAGUCUGUUGGUAAUACUUUAAGAACUAAAAUUUACUAUAAAUAAAAACAAAUCAGAGGUAAUUAUUUGCUACUGUUGCACACUUAUGAAAAUUUUCCUUCACCUCUGGAAGAGUUUCACAGGUUUUAGUACACUGAAGACAAUGACAGAACUUUCAUUAUAAACCAGAGCCAAAUAAAUGAAACUAAAGAAAGAAAAAUCCCAGAAGGUCAGCAGUUUUUAAAAUAACUGGGGUAAUUUGACAGCAAAACUAAGUUAUGAAGAAGACUCGUGGCUAGAUUGUGUCCAAAUGAAAUCCUUCUAAAUUGCCCCUGGUGGGCAGCUAGGGUCAAUAACCACUUCUGAACAUCUUGGUCAAACAUCUUGUGGGCAAACCAGAAAAGACUAGGACAAAACUGUAAUUGUCCAUGACUCAACUAACAUAAUGAGAAAUGACUGAAGUUAGUGAAUUUCACAUUUUACUGAUGUUGCAACAGUUUCCCAAAUUGUUUUGUAAAGAGUAAACACAUUUUUCAAAGUGAUUUGAUACCAUCUUCUGCACUAGCAAUGGAAUGAUGACAAUUGCAGAA